UACGAAGGGGGCUAGCGUUGCUCGGAAUUACUGGGCGUAAAGGGAGCGUAGGCGGACUGUUUAGUCAGAGGUAAAAGCCCAGGGCUCAACCUUGGAAUUGCCUUUGAUACUGGCAGUCUUGAGUACGGAAGAGGUAUGUGGAACUCCGAGUGUAGAGGUGAAAUUCGUAGAUAUUCGGAAGAACACCAGUGGCGAAGGCGACAUACUGGUCCGUUACUGACGCUGAGGCUCGAAAGCGUGGGGAGCAAACAGG
rnacentral:rRNA from 1 species